UACGUAGGGGGCAAGCGUUGUCCGGAUUUACUGGGCGUAAAGCGCGCGUAGGCGGCUUUGCAAGUCGGGUGUGAAAUCCCCAGGCUUAACCUGGGAACUGCAUUCGAGACUGCAUUGCUAGAGUAUGGGAGAGGGAAGUGGAAUUUCCGGUGUAGCGGUGAAAUGCGUAGAUAUCGGAAGGAACACCAGCGGCGAAGGCGGCGUCCUGGACUGGUACUGACGCUCAGGAGCGAAAGCGUGGGGAGCGAUCCGG
rnacentral:rRNA from 1 species